rnacentral:rRNA from 1 species
CCUACGGGCGGCAGCAGUGGGGAAUAUUGGGCAAUGGGGGAAACCCUGAUCCAGCGACGCCGCGUGAGUGAAGAAGUAUUUCGGUACGUAAAGCUCUAUCAUCAGGAAAGAAAAUGACGGUACCUGACUAAGAAUCCCCGGCUAACUACUUGCCAGCAGCCGCGGUAAUACGUAGGGGGCAAGCGUUAUCCGGCUUUACUGGGUGUAAAGGGAGCGUAGACGGCAGCGCAAGUCUGGAGUGAAAUGCCGGGGCGCAACCCCGGACCUGCUCUGGAAACUGUUCAGCUGGAGUGCAGGAGAGGUAAGCGGAAUUCCUGGUGUAGCGGUGAAAUGCGUAGAUAUCAGGAGGAACACCGGCGGCGAAGGCGGAUUACUGGACUGUAACUGACGCUGAGGCUCGAAGGCGUGGGGAGCAAACAGGAUUAGAUACCCCAGUAGUC